rnacentral:rRNA from 1 species
UACGUAGGGUGCGAGCGUUAAUCGGUAUUACUGGGCGUAAAGCGUGCGCAGGCGGUUUUGUAAGCCAGAUGUGAAAUCCCCGGGCUUAACCUGGGAAUGGCAUUUGGGACUGCAAGGCUUGAGUGCGGCAGAGGAGACUGGAAUUCCUGGUGUAGCAGUGAAAUGCGUAGAUAUCAGGAGGAAUACCGAUGGCGAAGGCAGGUCUCUGGGCUGACACUGACGCUCAUGCACGAAAGCGUGGGGAGCAAACAGG